rnacentral:rRNA from 1 species
UACGUAGGGGGGCAAGCGUUGUCCGGAUUUAUUGGGCGUAAAGAGCGUGUAGGCGGCUUGGUAGGUCCGCUGUGAAAAACUCGAGGCUCAACCUCGAGAUGUCGGCGGAAACCACUUGGCUAGAGUCCGGAAGAGGAGAGUGGAAUUCCCCGGUGUAGCGGUGAAAUGCGCAGAUAUCGGGGAAGAACACCUAUGGCGAAGGCAGCUCUCUGGGGACGGUACUGACGCUGAGACGCGAAAAGCGUGGGGGAGCGAACAGG